rnacentral:tRNA from 1 species
GGAGGUGUGGCUCAGCGGUAGAGCUCUUGCCUAGCAUGUGUGAGGCACUGGGUUCGACUCUCAGCACCACAU